AGAGUUUGAUCAUGGCUCAGGAUGAACGUUGGUAGUAUGCCUAACACAUGCAAGUCGAGCGGAAAGUGAUAGCAAUAUUACUUUUAGCGGCGAACGGGUGAGUAAUGCUUAUCUUACCUGCCAUUUAGUGGGGGAUAAAAUUCCGCAUAUUAUGAGUAAUCAUGAAAGGACUUUUUAGUUCGCUAAAUGAUGGGGAUAAGUCGUAUUAGUUAGUUGGUAGGGUAAUGGCCUACCAAGACAAUGAUGCGUAGCCAGUCUGAGAGGAUGAAUGGCCACAAAGGAACUGAGACACGGCCCAGACUCCUACGGGAGGCAGCAGUGGGGAAUAUUGGACAAUGGGCGAAAGCCUGAUCCAGCAAUGCCGCGUGUGUGAAGAAGGCCUGCGGGUUGUAAAGCACUUUCAGCAGGGAAGAAAAGCUUAGGGCUAAUACCUCUAAGUCUUGACGUUACCUGCAGAAGAAGCACCGGCUAACUCCGUGCCAGCAGCCGCGGUAAUACGGAGGGUGCGAGCGUUAAUCGGAAUUACUGGGCGUAAAGCGCGCGUAGGCGGUUGAGCAAGUCGGAUGUGAAAGCCCUGGGCUUAACCUGGGAAUUGCAUUCGAGACUGCUCGGCUAGAGUUUGGUAGAGGAAAGCGGAAUUCCGGGUGUAGCGGUGAAAUGCGUAGAUAUCCGGAGGAACAUCAGUGGCGAAGGCGGCUUUCUGGACUGAAACUGACGCUGAGGUGCGAAAGCGUGGGGAGCAAACAGGAUUAGAUACCCCAGUAGUCC
rnacentral:rRNA from 1 species